GUGCAGCAGUCGAGAAUUUUUCUCAAUGGGGGCAACCCUGAAGGAGCGACGCCGCGUGGAGGAUGAAGGCUUUCGGGUUGUAAACUCCUGUCAUUUGAGAACAAGUGUGGGCAAGUAACUACUGCCUACUUGAUAGUAUCAGAAGAGGAAGAGACGGCUAACUCUGUGCCAGCAGCCGCGGUAAUACAGAGGUCUCAAGCGUUGUUCGGAUUCAUUGGGCGUAAAGGGUGCGUAGGUGGCGCGCUAAGUCAGGUGUGAAAUCUCGGGGCUUAACUCCGAAACUGCAUUUGAUACUGGCGUGCUUGAGGACUGGAGAGGAGACUGGAAUUUCAUGGUGUAGCAGUGAAAUGCGUAGAGAUCAUGAGGAAGACCAGUGGCGAAGGCGGGUCUCUGGACAGUUCCUGACACUGAGGCACGAAGGCCAGGGGAGCAAACGGGAUUAGAUACCCGUGUAGU
rnacentral:rRNA from 1 species